rnacentral:rRNA from 1 species
AUUGAACGCUGGCGGCAUGCCUAACACAUGCAAGUCGAACGGUAACAGGCCGCAAGGUGCUGACGAGUGGCGAACGGGUGAGUAAUGCAUCGGAACGUGCCCAGUCGUGGGGGAUAACGCAGCGAAAGCUGCGCUAAUACCGCAUACGAUCUAUGGAUGAAAGCGGGGGACCGUAAGGCCUCGCGCGAUUGGAGCGGCCGAUGUCAGAUUAGGUAGUUGGUGGGGUAAAGGCUCACCAAGCCAACGAUCUGUAGCUGGUCUGAGAGGACGACCAGCCACACUGGGACUGAGACACGGCCCAGACUCCUACGGGAGGCAGCAGUGGGGAAUUUUGGACAAUGGGCGCAAGCCUGAUCCAGCAAUGCCGCGUGCAGGAAGAAGGCCUUCGGGUUGUAAACUGCUUUUGUACGGAACGAAACGGUCCUGGUUAAUACCCGGGGCUAAUGACGGUACCGUAAGAAUAAGCACCGGCUAACUACGUGCCAGCCGCCACGGUAA